rnacentral:rRNA from 1 species
GUUGAUCAUGGCUCAGAACGAACGCUGGCGGCGCGUCUAAGCAUGCAAGUCGAACGGCAAGAGGUAGCAAUACCUCCUAGAGUGGCGGACUGGUGAGUAACACGUGGGUGACAUACCCUUCAGAUGGGGAUAGCUAUUAGAAAUAGUAGAUAAUACCGAAUACGAGCACAGGGGUUAGAGAUCUGUGAGGAAAGGAGCUAAGGCUCCGCUGAAGGAAUGGCCUGCGGCCCAUUAGCUAGUUGGUGAGGUAAGAGCCCACCAAGGCGAUGAUGGGUAUCCGGCCUUAGAGGGUGAACGGACACAUUGGGACUGAGAUACGGCCCAGACUCCUACGGGAGGCAGCAGCUAAGAAUAUUCCGCAAUGGACGAAAGUCUGACGGAGCGACGCCGCGUGGAUGAAGAAGGCCGGAAGGUUGUAAAAUCCUUUUGAAACUGAAGAAUAAGCGUUGUAGGGAAUGACAGCGUGGUGACAGUAGGUUUUGAAUAAGCGACGGCUAAUUACGUGCCAGCCGCUGC